GUCUACGGCCAUGCCACCCUGAACAAGCCUGAUCCCCUCUGAUCUCAGAAGCUAAGCAGGGUCUGGCCUGGCUAGUACUUAGAUGGGAGACCACCUAGGAAGACCAGGUGCUGUAGGCA
rfam:Pteropus alecto contig29090, whole genome shotgun sequence.